rnacentral:rRNA from 1 species
UUCGGGGGGGUUGAUCCUGCCGGAGGCUACUGCUAUCGGGGUCCGACUAAGCCAUGCGAGUUGAGAGGGGUAAGCCCUCGGCAUAUUGCUCAGUAACACGCGGAUAACCUGCCCUUGGGUCUGGGAUAACCCCGGGAAACUGGGACUAAUACCGGAUAGAUCAAAGAAACUGGAAUGUUCUCUGGUCUAAAACUCUGGUGCCCAAGGAUGGGUCUGCGGCCUAUCAGGUAGUAGUGGGUGUAACGUACCUACUAGCCUACGACGGGUAAGGGUUGUGAGAGCAAGAGCCCUGAGAUGGAUUCUGAGACAUGAAUCCAGGCCCUACGGGGUGCAGCAGGCGCGAAAACUUUACACUGCGGGAAACCGCGAUAAGGGGACCCCGAGUGCCAGCACCUAGUGCUGGCUGUCCAGCUGUCCAAAUAACAGUUGUUAGCAAGGGCCGGGCAAGACCGGUGCCAGCCGCCGCGGUAACACCGGCGGCCCGAGUGGUAGCCGUUAUUAUUGGGUUUAAAGGGUCCGUAGCCGGCCUAUUAAGUCUCUUGGGAAAUCUGGCGACUUAAUCGUCAGGCGUCCAAGAGAUACUGGUAGGCUUGGGACCGGGAGAGGUGGGAGGUACUCCAGGGGUAGGGGUGAAAUCUCGUAAUCCUUGGGGGACCACCGAUGGCGAAGGCAUCCCACCAGAACGGGUCCGACGGUGAGGGACGAAAGCUGGGGGCACGAACCGGAUUAGAUACCCGGGUAGUCCCAGCUGUAAACGAUGCUCGCUAGGUGUCAGGUGCGGUGCGACCGCAUCUGGUGCCGCAGUGAAAACUUGAAGCGAGUCACCUGGGAAGUACGGUCGCAAGGCUGAAACUUAAAGGAAUUGGCGGGGGAGCACUACAACGGGUGGAGCCUGCGGUUCAAUUGGAUUCAACGCCGGG